UACAGAGGUCCCAAGCGUUGUUCGGAUUCACGGGGCGUAAAGGGUGCGUAGGCGGUCGGGUAAGUCUGAUGUGAAAUCUCACAGCUUAACUGUGAAACUGCAUUGGAUACUAUCCGGCUUGAGGAAUGGAGGGGAGACUGGAAUACUUGGUGUAGCAGUGAAAUGCGUAGAUAUCAAGUGGAACACCAGUGGCGAAGGCGAGUCUCUGGACAUUUCCUGACGCUGAGGCACGAAAGCCAGGGGAGCAAACGGG
rnacentral:rRNA from 1 species